CCUACGGGAGGCAGCAGUGGGGAAUUUUCCGCAAUGGGCGAAAGCCUGACGGAGCAACGCCGCGUGAGGGAUGAAGGCCUCUGGGCUGUAAACCUCUUUUAUCAAGGAAGAAGAUCUGACGGUACUUGAUGAAUAAGCCACGGCUAAUUCCGUGCCAGCAGCCGCGGUAAUACGGGAGUGGCAAGCGUUAUCCGGAAUUAUUGGGCGUAAAGCGUCCGCAGGCGGCCCUUCAAGUCUGCUGUUAAAAAGUGGAGCUUAACUCCAUCAUGGCAGUGGAAACUGUUGGGCUUGAGUGUGGUAGGGGCAGAGGGAAUUCCCGGUGUAGCGGUGAAAUGCGUAGAUAUCGGGAAGAACACCAGUGGCGAAGGCGCUCUGCUGGGCCAUCACUGACGCUCAUGGACGAAAGCCAGGGGAGCGAAAGGGAUUAGAUACCCCUGUAGUCCUGGCCGUAAACGAUGAACACUAGGUGUCGGGGGAAUCGACCCCUCCGGUGUCGUAGCCAACGCGUUAAGUGUUCCGCCUGGGGAGUACGCACGCAAGUGUGAAACUCAAAGGAAUUGACGG
rnacentral:rRNA from 1 species